GCAGACUAAGGCCGCAACGUCCUGUUGCAACGUCUGC
rnacentral:sRNA from 1 species